rnacentral:rRNA from 1 species
UGGGGAAUCUUGGACAAUGGGCGCAAGCCUGAUCCAGCCAUGCCGCGUGAAGGAUGAAGUAUUUCGGUAUGUAAACUUCGAAAGAAUAGGAAGAAUAAAUGACGGUACUAUUUAUAAGGUCCGGCUAACUACGUGCCAGCAGCCGCGGUAAUACGUAGGGACCAAGCGUUGUUCGGAUUUACUGGGCGUAAAGGGCGCGUAGGCGGCAAUUCAAGUCAUCUGUGAAAUCUCCGGGCUUAACUCGGAACGGUCAGAUGAUACUGCUUUGCUAGAGUGCAGAAGGGGCAAUCGGAAUUCUUGGUGUAGCGGUGAAAUGCGUAGAUAUCAAGAGGAACACCUGAGGUGAAGACGGGUUGCUGGGCCGACACUGACGCUGAGGCGCGAAAGCCAGGGGAGCAAACGGGAUUAGAUACCCUUGUAGUCCCUGAGCGGGCUGGCAAGGCGCAU